GGGACACGUGGUAUCCUGUCUGAAUAUGGGGGGACCAUCCUCCAAGGCUAAAUACUCCUGACUGACCGAUAGUGAACCAGUACCGUGAGGGAAAGGCGAAAAGAACCCCGGCGAGGGGAGUGAAAAAGAACCUGAAACCGUGUACGUACAAGCAGUGGGAGCACGCUUAGGCGUGUGACUGCGUACCUUUUGUAUAAUGGGUCAGCGACUUAUAUUCUGUAGCAAGGUUAACCGAAUAGGGGAGCCGAAGGGAAACCGAGUCUUAACUGGGCGUUAAGUUGCAGGGUAUAGACCCGAAACCCGGUGAUCUAGCCAUGGGCAGGUUGAAGGUUGGGUAACACUAACUGGAGGACCGAACCGACUAAUGUUGAAAAAUUAGCGGAUGACUUGUGGCUGGGGGUGAAAGGCCAAUCAAACCGGGAGAUAGCUGGUUCUCCCCGAAAGCUAUUUAGGUAGCGCCUCGUGAAUUCAUCUCCGGGGGUAGAGCACUGUUUCGGCAAGGGGGUCAUCCCGACUUACCAACCCGAUGCAAACUACGAAUACCGGAGAAUGUUAUCACGGGAGACACACGGCGGGUGCUAACGUCCGUCGUGAAGAGGGAAACAACCCAGACCGCCAGCUAAGGUCCCAAAGUCAUGGUUAAGUGGGAAACGAUGUGGGAAGGCCCAGACAGCCAGGAUGUUGGCUUAGAAGCAGCCAUCAUUUAAAGAAAGCGUAAUAGCUCACUGGUCGAGUCGGCCUGCGCGGAAGAUGUAACGGGGCUAAACCAUGCACCGAAGCUGCGGCAGCGACGCUUAUGCGUUGUUGGGUAGGGGAGCGUUCUGUAAGCCUGCGAAGGUGUGCUGUGAGGCAUGCUGGAGGUAUCAGAAGUGCGAAUGCUGACAUAAGUAACGAUAAAGCGGGUGAAAAGCCCGCUCGCCGGAAGACCAAGGGUUCCUGUCCAACGUUAAUCGGGGCAGGGUGAGUCGACCCCUAAGGCGAGGCCGAAAGGCGUAGUCGAUGGGAAACAGGUUAAUAUUCCUGUACUUGGUGUUACUGCGAAGGGGGGACGGAGAAGGCUAUGUUGGCCGGGCGACGGUUGUCCCGGUUUAAGCGUGUAGGCUGGUUUUCCAGGCAAAUCCGGAAAAUCAAGGCUGAGGCGUGAUGACGAGGCACUACGGUGCUGAAGCAACAAAUGCCCUGCUUCCAGGAAAAGCCUCUAAGCAUCAGGUAACAUCAAAUCGUACCCCAAACCGACACAGGUGGUCAGGUAGAGAAUACCAAGGCGCUUGAGAGAACUCGGGUGAAGGAACUAGGCAAAAUGGUGCCGUAACUUCGGGAGAAGGCACGCUGAUAUGUAGGUGAAGUCCCUCGCGGAUGGAGCUGAAAUCAGUCGAAGAUACCAGCUGGCUGCAACUGUUUAUUAAAAACACAGCACUGUGCAAACACGAAAGUGGACGUAUACGGUGUGACGCCUGCCCGGUGCCGGAAGGUUAAUUGAUGGGGUUAGCGCAAGCGAAGCUCUUGAUCGAAGCCCCGGUAAACGGCGGCCGUAACUAUAACGGUCCUAAGGUAGCGAAAUUCCUUGUCGGGUAAGUUCCGACCUGCACGAAUGGCGUAAUGAUGGCCAGGCUGUCUCCACCCGAGACUCAGUGAAAUUGAACUCGCUGUGAAGAUGCAGUGUACCCGCGGCAAGACGGAAAGACCCCGUGAACCUUUACUAUAGCUUGACACUGAACAUUGAGCCUUGAUGUGUAGGAUAGGUGGGAGGCUUUGAAGUGUGGACGCCAGUCUGCAUGGAGCCGACCUUGAAAUACCACCCUUUAAUGUUU
rnacentral:rRNA from 1 species